GACGAACGCUGGCGGCGUGCUUAACACAUGCAAGUCGAACGAAGUGGCGAACGGGUGAGUAAUACGUGGGUAACCUGCCCUCCUUUUUGGGAUAAGCCUUGGAAACGGGGUCUAAUACCGAAUAAAGGGGGAUGGGCUCGCGGCCUAUCAGCUUGUUGGGGGGGUGAUGGCCUACCAAGGCGGUGACGGGUAGCCGGCCUGAGAGGGUGACCGGCAACAGUGGGACGGCGAUACGGCCCACAGUACGACGGGGGGGGGCAGUGUGGGAUAUUGCACAAUGGGUGAAAGACCCAUGCAGCGACGCCGCGGGGGGGAUGAAGGCUUUAGGGUUGUAAACGUCUGGCGGUAGCGAACCGGUAGGUGGAGAAGAAGCGCCGGCUAACUACGUGCCAGCAGCCGCGGUAAUAC
rnacentral:rRNA from 1 species